GUAGGUCACAAGCGUUGUCCGGAAUUACUGGGUGUAAAGGGAGCGCAGGCGGGAAGACAAGUUGGAAGUGAAAUCCAUGGGCUCAACCCAUGAACUGCUUUCAAAACUGUUUUUCUUGAGUAGUGCAGAGGUAGGCGGAAUUCCCGGUGUAGCGGUGGAAUGCGUAGAUAUCACGAAGAACUCCGAUUGCGAAGGCAGCCUGCUAAGCUGCAACUGACAUUGAGGCUCGAAAGUGUGGGUAUCAAACAGGAUUAGAUACCCUGGUAGUCCACACGGUAAACGAUGAAUACUCGCUGUUUGCGAUAUACAGCAAGCGGCCAAGCGAAAGCGUUAAGUAUUCCACCUGGGGAGU
rnacentral:rRNA from 1 species